rnacentral:tmRNA from 1 species
GUAAGGUGUCUGCGAGGUUGAUGACCGAUUCAUAAUAACGUUUCAGGACCCGGGGGCGGUACCCGGCGCCUCCACCAGAAGCAUCCUGCCCCGGAUACCGCACGGGGACAGAGCGAGCGCCCGGCGUUGCGGGUUGCACGCUGCCAGGGUGCUUCUGCUGGGGGCGAAACAGGAUCGACUGGACGGUAAAGGGAUCGCGAGUUCUACCCUGUUUCGGCAGGAUAAGAUGCGGCUUUCGGUAAGGACUCGACCGGUCUGGCGCAGGCAACCCCUGUUCCGGGCACCUGACCAAAACUCUAAAUGCCAACGAUAACGUUGUCAUGGAUGCCCGCCUCGCGGCGUAAGCAUCUUGCGGCUGGGCAGCCGUAGAAACAGAA